UGUCGUGCAGAAUCAGGGGCCCGCCGCAGCAGAGCGGCGGUCUGUACUACUCGUGGCGUGACCCGGCUGUCGGCCGCAACGCCAAGUUCUCCUGGGGUCAAGCCAACGCCGCCUGCCAGCGUCGCAACCAGCGUCUCGUCUCGCUGGAGACGGCCGGCAAGAAUCAGCAGAUCGUCGGCGAGAUCGCCAGCGACAACAUCCCGUACAUCUGGACCAGCGGCC